GGAGGCGUGGCUGAGCGGUCGAAAGCAGCACACUGCUAAUGUGUUGACCGGGAAACCGGUCCGAAGGUUCGAAUCCUUCCGCCUCCG
rnacentral:tRNA from 2 species